AGGGGUGUAGCUCUAAUUGGCAGAGCGCGGGUCUCCAAAACCUGAGGUUGUGAGUUCGAGUCUCACCGCCCCUGCAA
rnacentral:tRNA from 2 species